rnacentral:rRNA from 1 species
GACAGAGGGUGCAAACGUUGCUCGGAAUCACUGGGCGUAAAGGGCGUGUAGGCGGGACAGUAAGUCGGGCGUGAAAUCCCUGGGCUCAACCCAGGAACUGCACUCGAAACUACUAUUCUUGAGUGUCGGAGAGGAAAGCGGAAUUCCUGGUGUAGAGGUGGAAUUCGUAGAUAUCAGGAGGAACACCAGUGGCGAAGGCGGGUUUCUGGGCAGUAACUGACGCUGAGGAGCGAAAGCGUGGGGAGCGAACAGG